UUACAACAUUAGAUAAGACAAAAUGAAUUAAUAAUCAUUUAAGACCAAAUUACCUAACCAGACAGCUGCUUAUCAAAAGAAGAAAGAUGCUGUUCAAAUUUUAUAUGGUCGUAUUAAUUCUACUGCAGUACUGUUUGUUAGGAAGUGGCUCAAAAAAGGCUUUUACAUUGAAACCACCGUCUACAAUACUACGUACGUACUUAGACUCUAGUUAUUUUUACAAGUAAAUCGUUGUGAUAGUGCCAG